rnacentral:rRNA from 1 species
UACGUAGGGUGCGAGCGUUGUCCGGAAUUAUUGGGCGUAAAGAGCUCGUAGGCGGUGUGUCGCGUCGGCCGUGAAAACCUGCAGCUUAACUGUGGGCGUGCGGUCGAUACGGGCAUCACUGGAGUUCGGCAGGGGAGACUGGAAUUCCUGGUGUAGCGGUGAAAUGCGUGAGAUAUGCGGAGGAACACCGAUGGCGAAGGCGAAUCCCCUGG